rnacentral:rRNA from 1 species
AGUAAUACAAGGCAGACGGCUCAGUAACGCGUAGUCAAUCUACCCUAUGGACGAGGAUAACCUCGGGAAACUGAGAAUAAUACUCGAUAGAACACUAUGCCUGGAAUGGUUUGUGUUUGAAAUGAUUUAUCGCCGUAGGAUGGGACUGCGGCCUAUCAGUUUGUUGGUGAGGUAAUGGCCCACCAAGACUAUUACAGGUACGGGCUCUGAGAGGAGUGGCCCGGAGAUGGGUACUGAGACACGGACCCAGGCCCUAUGGGGCGCAGCAGGCGAGAAAACUUUGCAAUGUGCGAAAGCACGACAAGGUUAAUCCGAGUGGUUUCUGCUAAAGAAACCUUUUGUUAGUCCUAGAAACACUGAUGAAUAAGGGGUGGGCAAGUUCUGGUGUCAGCCGCCGCGGUAAAACCAGCACCUCAAGUGGUCAGGAUGAUUAUUGGGCCUAAAGCAUCCGUAGCCGGCUAUGUAAGUUUUCGGUUAAAUCUGUGCGCUUAACGUACAGGCUGCCGGGAAUACUGCAUAGCUAGGAAGUGGGAGAGGUAGACGGUACUCGGUAGGAAGGGGUAAAAUCCUUUGAUCUAUUGAUGACCACCUGUGGCGAAGGCGGUCUACCAGAACACGUUCGACGGUGAGGGAUGAAAGCUGGGGGAGCAAACCGGAUUAGAUACCCGGGUAGUCCCAGCUGUAAAC